rnacentral:rRNA from 1 species
UCUGUUUGAUCCUGGCUCAGGAUGAACGCUAGCGGCAGGCCUAACACAUGCAAGUCGAACGGCAGCGGGAAGGAGCUUGCUCCUUUGCCGGCGAGUGGCGCACGGGUGCGUAACGCGUAUACAACCUACCUUAUACAGGGGUAUAGCCCAGGGAAACUUGGAUUAACACCCCAUAGUAAUAUGUUUUGGCAUCAUUACAUAUUUAAAACUACGGUGGUAUAAGAUGGGUAUGCGUCCCAUUAGCUUGUUGGUGUGGUAACGGCACACCAAGGCAACGAUGGGUAGGGGCCCUGAGAGGGGGAUCCCCCACACUGGUACUGAGACACGGACCAGACUCCUACGGGAGGCAGCAGUGAGGAAUAUUGGACAAUGGGCGGAAGCCUGAUCCAGCCAUGCCGCGUGCAGGAAGACUGCCCUAUGGGUUGUAAACUGCUUUUAUACGGGAAGAAACCCACCUACGUGUAGGUGGCUGACGGUACCGUAAGAAUAAGGACCGGCUAACUCCGUGCCAGCAGCCGCGGUAAUACGGAGGGUCCGAGCGUUAAUCGGAAUUACUGGGCGUAAAGCGCACGCAGGCGGUUUGUUAAGCUAGAUGUGAAAGCCCCGGGCUCAACCUGGGACGGUCAUUUAGAACUGGCAGACUAGAGUCUUGGAGAGGGGAGUGGAAUUCCAGGUGUAGCGGUGAAAUGCGUAGAUAUCUGGAGGAACAUCAGUGGCGAAGGCGACUCCCUGGCCAAAGACUGACGCUCAUGUGCGAAAGUGUGGGUAGCGAACAGGAUUAGAUACCCUGGUAGUCCACACCGUAAACGCUGUCUACUAGCUGUUUGUGGAUUUAAUCCGUGAGUAGCGAAGCUAACGCGAUAAGUAGACCGCCUGGGGAGUACGGCCGCAAGGUUAAAACUCAAAUGAAUUGACGGGGGCC